GGUUGUGAGGAUAAUUUGAAUGGGACUUGUGUCAUCUUGUUGACAGCAGGGUGGAUUCCCUGAUAGCCUGGCCAGCUGCUUUGACUGCCCUCUUUGUCCUCACCAUGCCAUAGGCCCUCUCUGGAGCUUCCCUCAAGGUCAAAAAGGACAAUCCUCCAAAACAGAGAAGGGCCAGCCUCUGUGAAGUGCUCAAGUGCAGAGGCCAUAAUAUCUACCAAUUUCCACAGUGUUUGGCUCAGUAUGACUUUUUAAGAAGCCAUUUACAGAAUUAGAAGCAUUUCUACUUGUGGAAUACAGAGCAUAUAA
ensembl:misc_RNA 7SK 7SK RNA